CAGUCGCCGCGGGAAAACGGAGGGGGCUAGCGUUGUUCGGAAUUACUGGGCGUAAAGCGCGCGUAGGCGGCUUGGUAAGUUAGAGGUGAAAGCCUGGAGCUCAACUCCAGAAUUGCCUUUAAGACUGCCGAGCUAGCAGGUGAGAGAGGUAAGUGGAAUUCCGAGUGUAGAGGUGAAAUUCGUAGAUAUUCGGAAGAACACCAGUGGCGAAGGCGGCUUACUGGCUCAUACUGGACGCUGAGGUGCGAAAGCGUGGAGAGCAAACAGGAUUAGAUACCCCCGUAGUCCCUGUCUCUUAUAA
rnacentral:rRNA from 1 species